UACAGAGGGGGCAAGCGUUGUUCGGAAUUACUGGGCGUAAAGGGCGCGUAGGCGGCCGCCUAAGUCAGACGUGAAAUCCCUCGGCUCAACCGGGGAACUGCGUCUGAUGCUGGGUGGGCUUGAAUCCGGGAGAGGGAUGCGGAAUUCCAGGUGUAGCGGUGAAAUGCGUAGAUAUCUGGAGGAACACCGGGUGGCGAAGG
rnacentral:rRNA from 1 species